rnacentral:rRNA from 1 species
GAUGAACGCUAGCGGCAGGCCUAAUACAUGCAAGUCUAAAGGGCAGCAAUGUCCUUGGCGCACGGGUGCGUAACACGUAUGCAACCUGCCCUCAACUGGGGGAUAGCUCGGGGAAACUCGAAUUAAUACCGCAUAAGAUAGUAGAGAGGCAUCUUUCAGCUAUUAAAGAUUUAUUGAUGACGGAUGGGCAUGCGUUAGAUUAGGUAGUUGGUAGGGUAACGGCUUACCAAGCCUACGAUCUAUAGGGGCUCUGAGAGGAGAAUCCCCCACACUGGCACUGGGAUACGGGCCAGACUCCUACGGGAGGCAGCAGUAGGGAAUAUUGGGCAAUGGACGAAAGUCUGACCCAGCCAUGCCGCGUGCAGGACGAAGGCCCUCUGGGUUGUAAACUGCUUUUUUGAGGGAAGAAAAGACUCGUUGCGACGAGAGUUGACGGUACCUUAAGAAUAAGCCACGGCUAACUACGUGCCAGCCGCCGCAGUAA